ACCUCAGUUGCUCUCUCCGCUUGGGUUUGGAGGGCAGAAGGUGCCACAGGAUGAGUGGGGGAAUCCAUAGAAUCCUCGAAAAAAACUCUAAUUAUCUGGUCGAGUUGGGGAAUUUGUAGACUCCCGGGAGAAUUUUAUUUUAUUUUUGUAAUUUAUUUUUUUUAAAAUAGCUGUGGUUGUCCCAGAACAUCAUCUGGAAAUCUAAAGUGUCCUGUCAAGUUGGGUAAGACUCCUGGAAGAGCUUUCUCCAACUGGGAUCAUCGAGCUGUGUGGAGCAGUAAUCCAACUCCCAACAGGUCCUUAGCAACCACCCCGCCUCGCCACAUCUGUAGACAUGAUCAUCAGGCUGGGAAGGCUGACACCAGGAUAUUUCCGCCUCCUCCAGAGACAAGUGGCCGGCGAGGUGCAGACGCAGCCGCAGGACCGCGCCAUCAACCAGAUCGCCAUGAUGCUGGCCAUCAUGGGUCUCAGUUUAUCCUACUACAGCGCCAAGCAAAUGACCGAGAAGGUGCAUGCCCAUCCUGCGCCCUGAACCACUCAUGGGCGGAUGGACGAAAGGGAAGCUGACGAAGCCACGACUGUGGUCUUGUUUGUUUAGUUUUCUGUUUUCAGACCGUAAAGGGUGCGGCUGUUCCCGAUCUCUGGUGGAAGGGGAUGUUUGGCCAUUAGCAAAGGUGCAUGCUAGCAAGGUCAUGUCAGUAAGGAGGGGGGAUAGGGUAAAGGGGGCAUUACACGUAAUAUGAUACUUGAAUUCUCAAAGUUGAUCUCCGCGUUGCAAGUCUUGGGAGAUGCUGUGAGUCAUUUGCACAAUCAUGCGAAAACUGUUUUUAAAAACAAAGAAAUGUCAUAUAACAAGUCACAACCUUUUUUUUUGGGUCUCCUUGUGAAGUCACACUUGACAUCUAGUCAAUGACGUGUUGUAUACUAUAUGUAAACCACACUGAGUGCAUGUGAGGACUUAAAAAAAAUAAAUAAAAUAAAAUAAUAUUUUUCUAUUGCCGUACGGACGAAUGUGUCACUUUAUUUUGUAAUGAUUGAAUAAAGCUGUGAAUCUUUUUUUGCAA